UCAGGUCUAGGCCCUAAGAAACAUUUGUCUCU
rnacentral:piRNA from 1 species